rnacentral:rRNA from 1 species
CCUACGGGUGGCAGCAGUGAGGAAUAUUGGUCAAUGGCCGGAAGGCUGAACCAGCCAUGCCGCGUGAAGGUCAGUGCCCUAUGGGCGUUAAACUCCCUUUGUGCGGGAGCAAUAAUGGUCACGUGUGGCCAGACGAGAGUACCGUACGAAUAAGCAUCGGCUAACUCCGUGCCAGCAGCCGCGGUAAUACGGGGGAUGGCAGCGUUAUACGGAUUUUUUGGGUUUAAAGUGUGCGUAGGCCGUGAGGUAAGUCAGCGGUGAAAUGCCCCCGCUCAACGGGGUGAAGUGCCAUUGAUACUGCCUUGCUGGAAUGCGGAUGCAGUGGGAGGAAUGUGUGGUGUAGCGGUGAAAUGCAUAGAUAUCACACAGAACACCGAUUGCGAAGGCAGCACACG